AUAAUACUCCCUCCGUCCGAAAAUACUUGUCAUCAAAAUGGACAAAAAGGGAUGUAUCUAGAACUAAAAUACAUCUAGAUACAUCGCCUUUUAUUCAUUUUGAUGGCAAGUAUUUCCGGACGGAGGGAGUAAGUA
rnacentral:pre_miRNA from 1 species